UACGUAGGGUCCAAGCGUUAAUCGGAAUUACUGGGCGUAAAGCGUGCGCAGGCGGUUUUGUAAGCCAGAUGUGAAAGCCCCGGGCUCAACCUGGGAAUUGCAUUCGAGACUGAAUAGCUAGGGUACGGUAGAGGGAAGCGGAAUUUCCGGUGUAGCGGUGAAAUGCGUAGAUAUCGGAAGGAACAUCAGUGGCGAAAGCGGCUUCCUGGUCCAGCACCGACGUUCAGGCACGAAAGCGUGGGGAGCAAACAGG
rnacentral:rRNA from 1 species